rnacentral:rRNA from 1 species
UACAGAGGCCCCAAGCGUUAGGCGGAAUCACUGGGCUUAAAGCGUGUGUAGGUGGAUGCCUAAGUACCUUGUGAAAUCCCACGGCUUAACCAUGGAAUUGCUUGGUAUACUGGGUGUCUUGAGCCACUCAGGGGCUACCGGAACAAACGGUGGAGCGGUGAAAUGCGUAGAUAUCGUUUGGAACGCCAAUGGUGAAAACAGGUAGCUGGGGGUGUGCUGACACUGAGACACGAAAGCCAGGGGAGCAAACGGG